UGUUAGAAUUGUGUAGCUUUUAUGUUGUAAUACAUUCUGGAUUUGUUAAAGGCAUUUCAUGCAACAUGUUUGAUGAAAUGUUUGUGAGGAAUGGUUCCUUGGGAUUUGGUGAGUUUGUUGUCAAAUGGUUCAAUGAAGCAUAAUUGAAGCCACUGCUUGGAACUGAUUGGUUUCCUUGCAAAUGAACCAGAAUUACAGCCUGGCGUGAGGUCAAUUAGUGUUUGAACCCGGGCCCAACUUGUUCCUUUACAAGCUUCCAUGACGGCAACAGAUGAUGUAUACUGUAAUACUCAUGCACAUAAGGAUUUUAGUAUAGAUUUACCUUGGCAAUUUACUUAUCUUCAACACUAAGGCUUGGCUUGCAUUUUGCCUCCACCGAGAGCAGCUUGCUUAGCUGAAGCAAUCUACUCUCAUGGCCCUCAUGAUCUACUGGUUUGGCCACUGAUCUAGUGUUGUUGUGGUGCAUCUCUUUUUCAGUAUUAGUUAUCUCAAAUUAAUUAUGCUUUUAAAGUGCUUGAUAAAUUGUCUCAAUUAAUUGUUUAAUUGCAGUUUAUUUAAUGAAUAUGAAGAAUAUGACUUUGCCAGGACAUGAAGCACUGCAAGAGAAAAGGUUGGGUUGAAUAUAUAUCUAUUGUGCAAGAUAUACUCUUUAACUCUUUUCUUCACAACCGAGGAAGAACGAUUUGAAGAUUCAAAGAUUUUAAAAACUCAUUCCACUUUUUAUGGUUAACAAUGCUACAAUUUCUUAUGACUUCACAGUUGUCUAGUUUUCUGGAUCAUCAAUUAUUUGUAAGCAUGGAUUAGACCAUAUGAAAUAUUCAUUGUGUUCUAGCUUUAAAUUUUGGUAUGCUUCUAGAAACUUUUCAGGUAGAACUUUCUGAAGGUUGUCUGAAACAGUUCACACAUGAGAUCCAGCCCUUUCUGAGAAAGCAAAGUGAUGCUUUUUCGGUUUAACAAAGGAAUCAGCAAGCCUCUAUGCAAAGACGGUGUUGAUUACUACUGGUCAUUGAAUUGCAUUAUAUGUAAACAUUCAUGACGGCAUACACCCUUGGUAUUCUUGCUAGGAUGUCUCUGUGGAAAUAUGGUCUUGUAUAUCGACAGGGUAUUGGUCGUGGAAUUGGGUCUUACGUAAACAUUCAAGAAGAAAUCUGUUUCUAUGAAGAUGGGAAAGUUGGUUUAAAUUAGAUAAUGUGCUCAUAAUCAAAGAGGUGGAUAUAAAAUUCAAUUUGGUGACAGGGUUACUUGACAUUUGAGCAUAUAACAUGGAUCCUGCUGCCAGUGCUGACCUUGCUGUGGUCUUAAUGCAAGAAGUCAUAAUUGAAUCCAAAGAACGCAAUUUCUAGACUAAUUUCUAGUUCCUUGCUUUAGUUGUAUACAGGGUAAGCUCUGCAUUCUCUUUAAUAAGGUACAUAUGUUGCAUGUAA